CCUAUUACUAUAAAUCACCACCACCUCCAUCGCCAUCACCUCCACCUCCAUAUUACUACAAGUCUCCACCACCGCCAUCUCCAUCACCGCCACCACCCUAUUACUACAAGUCUCCUCUUUCACCGUCGCCUUCUCCUCCACCUCCAUACUAUUACCACUCUCCACCCCCUCCAGUAAAGUCUCCUCCUCCUGCCUAUUACUACAGCUCACCUCCUCCACCCGUGAAAUCACCACCUCCACCAGUAUACAUUUAUGCUUCUCCGCCACCUCCAAUCCACUACUAAGUAUUUCUAAGAGCUCAGCCAUUCUCCACAAUCAAUCAA
rnacentral:lncRNA from 1 species